rnacentral:rRNA from 1 species
CCCUUAGAUGUUCUGGGCUGCACGCGUGUUACAAUCGGGAGUACAACGAGAUUGCAAAUCCUAGUGGAUGAGUGGUUCUUCGAAAUUUUCUGAAGACUGGGAUAGUUGAUUGAAAUUAUUCAACUCGAACGAGGAAUUCCUUGUAAUUGUAAUUCAUUAUAUUGUAAUGAAUACGUCCCUGCCCUUUGUACACACCGCCCGUCGCUCCUACCGAUUGAACGAUCCGGUGAAUUAUUUGGAGUAGCUCUGGAAGUUGCAGAACUUCCUAUGUCACGAAAUUUUGUAAACCUUAUCGUUUAGAGGAAGGAAAAGUCGUAACA